rnacentral:rRNA from 1 species
GACGAACGCUGGCGGCGUGCUUAACACAUGCAAGUCGAACGAUGAAGCCGGAGCUUGCUCUGGUGAAUUAGUGGCGAACGGGUGAGUAACACGUGAGUAACCUGCCCUUGACUCUGGGAUAACUGCUAGAAAUGGUAGCUAAUACCGGAUACGACCCUCGGCGGCAUCGCCAGGGGGUGGAAAGAAUUUCGGUCAAGGAUGGACUCGCGGCCUAUCAGCUAGUUGGUGAGGUAACGGCUCACCAAGGCGACGACGGGUAGCCGGCCUGAGAGGGUGACCGGCCACACUGGGACUGAGACACGGCACAGACUCCUACGGGAGGCAGCAGUGGGGAAUAUUGCACAAUGGGCGCAAGCCUGAUGCAGCAACGCCGCGUGAGGGAUGACGGCCUUCGGGUUGUAAACCUCUUUUAGUAGGGAAGAAGCGAAAGUGACGGUACCUGCAGAAAAAGCACCGGCUAACUACGUGCCAGCAGCCGCUGUAA